UACGGAGGGGGCUAGUGUUGUCCGUAAUGACUGGGCGUAAAGGGCGCGUAGGUGGUUACUUCGGUGUGAGAGGGAAGAUCUUUUUUCGAAAGAUAUACUUUUCAGACCUUUAUCUUCCUGGUAAAAGACUCUCGAUAUGAAAAGAGCAGGCCGUAAGAGGGGUGAAUAUGUUGUAACUAGAGAAGAGCUUGAGAUCACAGAAUUUUCAAUGGAGGGGUAAUAUCCACAGAUAUUGAAAGGGCUGC
rnacentral:rRNA from 1 species